GUGGGGAAUCUUAGACAAUGGGCGCAAGCCUGAUCUAGCCAUGCCGCGUGAGCGAUGAAGGCCUUAGGGUUGUAAAGCUCUUUCGUGGGGGAAGAUAAUGACUGUACCCCAAGAAGAAGCCCCGGCUAACUCCGUGCCAGCAGCCGCGGUAAUACGGAGGGGGCUAGCGUUGUUCGGAAUUACUGGGCGUAAAGCGCACGUAGGCGGACUGGAAAGUCAGGGGUGAAAUCCCGGGGCUCAACCCCGGAACUGCCUUUGAAACUCCCAGUCUUGAGUUCGAGAGAGGUGAGUGGAAUUCCGAGUGUAGAGGUGAAAUUCGUAGAUAUUCGGAAGAACACCAGUGGCGAAGGCGGCUCACUGGACAGGUAUUGACGCUGAGGUGCGAAAGCGUGGGGAGCAAACAGGAUUAGAUACCCGGGUAGUCC
rnacentral:rRNA from 1 species